UACGUAGGGCGCAAGCGUUGUCCGGAAUUAUUGGGCGUAAAGAGCUCGUAGGCGGUUUGUCGCGUCUGCUGUGAAAACCUAAGGCUCAACCUUGGGCUUGCAGUGGGUACGGGCAGACUAGAGUGCGGUAGGGGUGACUGGAAUUCCUGGUGUAGCGGUGGAAUGCGCAGAUAUCGAGAGGAACACCUGCGGCGAAGGCGGGUUGCUGGGCUGACACUGACGCUGGAAGCGCGAAAGCUAGGGGAGCGAACGGG
rnacentral:rRNA from 1 species